GUCCCGUGUCCCUUCUCUCUUCCUAACACCCUCUUUUUAUUUUUAAAACUUUUGGACCACUCUCUUGCUGCCACGUGUCCCUUUCCUCCACACAUUUCCGGAGGUCCCUCUCUUCACUCACCUCUCGUGCUGCCACGACAUCCCAUUUUCCUCUAACCCUCUCUCUCCUCUCUAUUCUUUCCCGUCUCUCUCACUCUAGCACUCUCCUCCCUCUGUAUUCACCGGCGCCGAGGCCAGCUUCCACCAUAUCGCCGUCAUCUCCGACGAGACCCACCAAACCAACACCUGGACUCUCCUUCUCUCCCUCACUAAAGAUCUAAACUCUCUGGGCAUGUACGGACCGAGGAGAGGACCGUUUCGAGUGAAACUUCUCCGGCGUGAUUCCGCCGUUCACGGCCUAAGUAAGAUUCGAGAAAUACCUCGGGGAAAUACUCCCUAGUUUUCCGGCGAGCCAUCCGAGUUUUGUAAGCCAUUUCCGGCUAACUUCGGCCAUGGCUUUGUCUCCCAUUGGCGAAACGCUUCGCAAGGAUUCUUGAUGCUACGAGGCGGGUUCGACUCGACGACAUGAUUUGUAGGCGAAACGCUUCGCAAGGAUUCUCGAUGCUACGAGGCGGGUUCGACUCGACGACAUGAUUUGCCCAUUCACCUUUGCUUUGCGCUCCUUCAGGUUUUAGCCGCUCAGUUUCGUAUCGAUAAGGAUUCUUGGCAAAUCCUAGUGUAGACUAUUCCCUCAUUGGUAUAAUUCUCACCUUAUCUUACUGUACUGUACUUAUACUCUGACAUCACAUGUAAAAUGAGUUCAUUCCCUCUCACAGUGCACUCUUAUAUUUAUGUACUUUUAGGUUUAAAUUUAUUCACUUUUCCACAUCACUACACCUUAUGGCUUCGUCACCCUCAUGGUGUCAACCAGUACAGCUUGAUUCGGAGUCGUAAUGAACAUUCCAGAUCAGGGUGUGUCACGUCACAAGUAACGCGCCAUGAUGUUUAAAAAAAAAAGCCUUUCGCACCCGUAUGAGCGGAUGCAAAAAGGCUAAUAUAUGUAACACAAGCCAUGAAUCCACUGAAUUUCAAGUGAACAGAGGCUUUUCAUAAAUGUA